rnacentral:rRNA from 1 species
UCAGGUUAAGCUGGGGACUCUAAAGGAACUGCCUACGCAAGUAGUGAGGAAGGCGGGGAUGACGUCAAAUCAGCACGGCCCUUACGUCCAGGGCUACACACGUGCUACAAUGGCCGAUACAGAGGGCAGCUACCUGGUGACAGGAUGCAAAUCUACCAAAGUCGGUCUCAGUUCGGAUCGGAGUCUGCAACCCGACUCCGUGAAGUUGGAUUCGCUAGUAAUCGCGCAUCAGCCAUGGCGCGGUGAAUACGUUCCCGGGCCUU